rnacentral:rRNA from 1 species
GUGAACGCUGGCGGUAGGCCUAACACAUGCAAGUCGAACGGCAGCACAGUAAGAGCUUGCUCUUACGGGUGGCGGGUGGCGGACGGGUGAGGAAUACAUCGGAAUCUACUUUUUCGUGGGGGAUAACGUAGGGAAACUUACGCUAAUACCGCAUACGACCUACGGGUGAAAGCAGGGGAUCUUCGGACCUUGCGCGAUUGAAUGAGCCGAUGUCGGAUUAGCUAGUUGGCGGGGUAAAGGCCCACCAAGGCGACGAUCCGUAGCUGGUCUGAGAGGAUGAUCAGCCACACUGGAACUGAGACACGGUCCAGACUCCUACGGGAGGCAGCAGUGGGGAAUAUUGGACAAUGGGCACAAGCCUGAUCCAGCCAUACCGCGUGGGUGAAGAAGGCCUUCGGGUUGUAAAGCCCUUUUGUUGGGAAAGAAAAGCAGCAGGUUAAUACCCCGCUGUUCUGACGGUACCCAAAGAAUAAGCACCGGCUAACUUCGUG